UGAGGAAUAUUGGUCAAUGGACGAAAGUCUGAACCAGCCAUGCCGCGUGCAGGAAGACGGCCCUACGGGUUGUAAACUGCUUUUAUAUAGGAAGAAACCUCCGGACGUGUCCGGAGCUGACGGUACUAUAUGAAUAAGCACCGGCUAACUCCGUGCCAGCAGCCGCGGUAAUACGGAGGGUGCAAGCGUUAUCCGGAUUUAUUGGGUUUAAAGGGUCCGUAGGCGGAUCUUUAAGUCAGUGGUGAAAGCCUAUAGCUUAACUAUAGAAUUGCCGUUGAUACUGAAGAUCUUGAGUACAUUUGAAGUGGGCGGAAUGUGUCAUGUAGCGGUGAAAUGCAUAGAUAUGACACAGAACACCGAUUGCGAAGGCAGCUCACUAAACUGUAACUGACGCUGAGGGACGAAAGCGUGGGGAGCGAACA
rnacentral:rRNA from 1 species